ensembl:lncRNA
UAACACCUUCAUGGACCGAGAUUAUCCCAGCUUUUUCCCAUCUCCCUGCACUCCCCACCCAUCCGACCUCAGGCCGCCCUGCUGCUUUAUCCUUUUUCUACAGACAAAGUGGAGGCAGUGGACAUGGAACGGGGGAGUCCUGUACUGGGAAGGUCCUGUAGGGUCCUGCUCGCUGACAGGCCUAGGAGGCUGAGGCUUUUCUACAGACAGAAGCCCGUGGAGGACACGGAGUGGUGAUCGUGAAGCCAGUUGAAGUAGCUUGAAAACAGAAUGGUUCUUCCUGGAGUCGGUAAAUUUGAACAUGCUUACCGGUGGCCCAGUCUCCUUAUGUGCGUGAGAGGCAAGCAAGGUGUCUUAUACAAUUAGAAACAAGUUAGUUGUCCGUAGAG